CUACAACCCUCUGCUGCCUGUCCCUCAGCCACUGCCUUAGCCAUUCAACAAUAUUGGAUUCCAAUAUUGUUGAAUGGCUAAGGCAGUGGCUGAGUGACAGGCAGCAGAGGGUUGUAG